CCUACGGGGGGCAGCAAUUAGGAAUCUUGCGCAAUGGGCGAAAGCCUGACGCAGCGACGCCGCGUGACUGAUGAAGUCUCUCGGGAUGUAAAGGUCUUUUCUGAAGGAAGAAAAAAAUGACGGUACUUCAGGAAUAAGCCCCGGCUAACUACGUGCCAGCAGCCGCGGUAAUACGUAGGGGGCGAGCGUUGUCCGAAUUUACUGGGCGUAAAGCGCGCGUAGGCGGACUAUUAAGUUGGUGGUGAAAUCCCGAGGCUCAACCUCGGAACUGCCUCCAAAACUGUUAGUCUUGAGGUAUGGAGAGGAAAGUGGAAUUCCUGGUGUAGCGGUGAAAUGCGUAGAUAUCAGGAGGAACACCCAUGGCGAAGGCAGCUUUCUGGCCAUAUUCUGACGCUGAGGUGCGAAAGCUAGGGUAGCGAACG
rnacentral:rRNA from 1 species